UUUUUUUUUUUUUUUGGGUUUGUUAGAGCAGAAACUUUAUUAGUGGGAAAGAAAAAGAAAAUUACGUAGAAUAGAGGCAGAAAAGAUUUAGGUGAAGCGGUUAAGUAAGGCCCAAGAUUCCUCCAAAAAUACCUUUAAGAAUAAACUGCGGAGGAUUAUCUUACCACGCCUAAGAAUCACAUAAAUAAUCCACAGUUUGCCAAACCAUCUGCAAUCGAGUUUUUAAAAAUGAAUGUGAGUACAUCGGAAUGCAGUAGAAUUAAUAUUGCGAACAAGGAAGACUAAAAGAAGCACUGUGAGCACAAACAACAACAGCAGAUGAGAGUCACAUUCCAAUCAAAUAUAUUGCUUUGAAAGGCAAAUACGAAACGCUAAUAUGGUGAUGAGAAUCCUGAUCCACCAAAUACCAGAGCCUAAUUUUGAAAUUUUAAUCGUAGACCUAAUUUUAAAUGCAUUACGUAUGCCUUGUUAAUUAGUAGUUUUAAAUGCAUGGCAGCUUGAUACUCAAGAUAAAUAGCAUAGUUCUAAAAUAAUACCCUAUUUCUAAUACUACAAAGAAAAGAAAAAAGGUUAGAAAGUCAGAACAGCCAUAGCAUUCAUAUCAAUUAUCAAUUAUCAUUACAAUAUUAUGACUUUGUGCAUGGCAAUUGAUUAUCGUUUCCUUAAUUAUUUGAACAGGGUGAUUCCUCUGGUAAUUUAAAAAUACAAAAAGCUGUACCCUGUCGCCAGAACUAGCGUGCGUAGACCAACAAUCAAGGUUCGUUAGUUAAUGUACUAUCACUAUCACGUCUGAUUUCGACAUCAGACAGCAGAUUGAUUGCAAAAUCAGUUAAAUAAAUUAGUAAUUUAAUUAUUAGAACGAAUCAUAAUGAAUUUUAUCGUACUCUCAAUUUUUGUUUUUUUUUGUUUUUGUUUGAACUUUUGGGGGCCCUUGUGAUGUAGUUGUGCAUGGUUUUAUGGUCAUCGUCUGCAUCGUAAAACUCUACCAGAGGAGUCUCGAUUAAACCACCCGUAAGUGUACGGGUUGAGCAUGCUGUUUGCUUCAGAUCUGUACUAUAAAUGGAACUUUGCCUUGGGGUUCUUUCUCAUUUCUGGUAGUUUUGGUCAUUAGUACACUGUGAAGUCGCUCUCCCAUGCACGUCUUCCGAAAGUUUGACGUUUCGCCAUUUACUUGCUCUUUAAAAAUAUUUAUUAGCUCGCAGUAAUCAAUUUGGUUGUGGUUGUUGUUGUCUUGAGCUCCAUUGACUGAUUGAAUCCAACAGAAGAAAUUAAAUUAACUUGCAAAAAAUGAAAAAUUACAUAUAUCGUCACAAAACUCAAUGAGGAAGGAAACCUUUAAUUAAUUAAAUUAAAAUACAGCGUUAAAAAAACUAAUAAAUUCACCGUACAUCCUUAUGUAAUAAUAUCUCUCUCGCUGCCUGUGUAAUGUGUAUAAUUAAUUAAUUUCGUUAAUUGCUACUGUCACACGGCUUUUCUGCCUUGGCAUUAGGGGUGGUAAAAAUACCCAUCCGGUCUGGACCCGGACCGCAUUCGGGCGUUUUGGGCCGGGUAAUUGUAUGAAGCCGGACCGAUCUUAGGCAUGACUUGAUAAAUCCAGAACAUGAAUUUUAUUAAAAAAAAAUUAUAAAAUAUAUUUUAUUUUAAAUAUUUAUAUUUAUUUAACUUAUUUAUUACACAUAUAUAAAGUUUUAAACACUUAAAGUUCAUAUUUUCAUGUCAAAUUUUAUUAAAAUAAAUUUAAAACUUAUAAAAUUACCAAAAAAAUAAAAAAUAUACACAUAUAAUAUUAAAAAAUAUAAAAUAUGAGUACUUGGAUUAAAGCCCGGCACAACCUGACCCGGGCAUCUAUGCAUCCAGGUCGGGUCCGGUCAUUGUGAUACCCAGACCCGGCCCGAGAUUUUGCCAAUCUAACUUGGCAUGGCCGGUAGGGUAAUUUUUACUGGCCUUUCUUCAAUUAUCUCCAUCCACACAUAUAUAGACUUGAUGCUCAAAUUAACGUUAACCUCCCCUAAUUCAAGCAUUUGACUGUUAAGCGUGAUAACAAUUGAAGGAAAAUACACUAUACCCUUUUGUAAGCAAUUAUGAAAGAAACUUAAAAAAAAAAUCAAAAUUUAGUACUUAUAAUAGAUAAAAAUGAUGUUUGUAUGACUUGAGUAUUUUGCAACAUGUAAAAAUUAAGCAUGAGGUAAUAUAAAUAGAGUAAAAAAGGAAGUUUUUGCUUAAUGACAAAAGUAAUAUAAUAUCGAAGAAUAUACUUUUUUAUUUUUGAUAUUUGCAUUAAAUUAAAUUUUAAUCACAUGAUGUCUUCAAUAAGCUCGCAUAAUGUUAGAAAAAAAAAUUAGAAGAAAAAAAUAGAGAAGAAAAUGAUUUGGUAACACUUUCAUUAAUAAACUAUUGAAGUAAAUUUUCCAAUUUACUUCAAGUUUAAAGUCAUUUGACAACACCUCUAUUUGAACAAAAAUUCAACUGGCUUCUUUAGACUUAAAUCUAUUUAAAAGUACCUACAUUUCAUCAAAUAUUAAAAUUAAAUGAGAUUUUUUUUAAUUUACAUCAAGUUUAAAAUUAUUUGAAAAAAACUCCUGAAAAUUUUAAAUAAUUUUUCAUAGUUUGCUUCAAACUAAAGGCCAUUUGAAAGCAUAUGCAUUUAACUAUGUAUUCGAGCCAAUUUCAAGAAAUUUGAUUAAAUUUUAUUAAGUUACGAAAUUACCCUUGAUGGUAACAGCCAAACAAACUAAACAUUUGGUCUAGAGGAGGUUGGUGUCAAUUUGGACAUAAAGCCCAUCUAUGGCUGGGUUGGAGAUAGUUGAGGAAAGGUUAGUGAUAAUCACGGUGGCCUAAGGCAAUGACAGGCUGACAGCUAUCCGUAUUCUAUGAAUGAGCAACUAACACCACUUUUAAAUUCUUGAGAAACCCAACUUUUUAUUUGUUUCAUCUCUUUCUUUUAAGAAAUUGCAAAAAAAGGACAUAAAAUUAUUACAUAAUUUCGAUUAAAUUUCACUUUCAUUUAGAAUAAAUUUAUAAACAUACUUUUCCAUAAUAAAAUUGCUGUUAUUAGAUAAUUUAUUUCUUCAUUGUUUCAUAAUUAUUCUGCUUUCAUCAACAAAAUUAACUCUAUCAUUUAUUAGGAUUAAAAAAUAAUUAAGGUUCAUGAUUUGUAUAGACAUUUUACUUUGAAUAAAUUCAUAUUUGUCCUUUUAUGUAAUUUCCGAGUAGCAAUAGAACCGUGAUUCCCAAAAAAAAAAAAAAAAAAAAAAAAAGAAAAAAAAAAAAGUGAUAUGAGGACGUUGAAUGGGUGUGAAAAGCAUUACUCAUAGUCCGUUGCCAUGUGCACUGGCCCAAUCCAAUCAGUCGAAGCCACACUAGUUAGGCUUUUUCACAAAUUUUACCCACGUUUCGGCCUACUAGUAUUUGUGUUACGCCACUGACACCCCUUACAAUCUGUUCGAACCCGUUAGAUUUGCACUUACCAUUUGGGCCUUAAUUUGAAUUAUAUUAGAAACCAAAUUGUCUAAUUUAAUAAUACACGUUAUUUUCAACGUCAAAAAAAAAAAAAAAAAAACAGAGCUCAUAUAAUAUAUUCGAUUGAAAUUCCUUAAAAGAACGAUAUUACAAAAACAAAGGUCAAUGUAAACAAUAAAUUGACCAACAACUCCACAAGUUAAAAAGUUGGCUGUAGAAAUUAGGGACUUCAGGAUGUUGAUAGGUUCGUAGAGAAAUUUCUUUGAAAAAUCCUUUUUCCAUUCGAUUUUUACAGUAAAUUUUAUUUAUUUAUCUCUUAAAAAAUUCUUAAUUAAUGCCAGGAAACAUCAAUCACUUGCUUUCUUUCGUCAGUUGAAAAUAAGUGUGGGGUUACUUGUGAAAAUGAAACAGGCAAAAUUAGAAUUUAUGUGAUUCGUACUUAUAUUUUGUGGGGUAAAUUAGAAUUAAUUAAUGUAAUUUUUGGGGUAAAUUUAUCUUUUUACUUUAUUUUGAGUUGCAAGGGUAAAAUAGUUAAUUUGUCACAAUUAUGUUAACUUUCUAACGGAAGUUAACGGAUUGGUGGACGUCAUAAGUGUUUUGUCAACUUAGGGUAUACGAGUGAUACACUUGAAAAGUAUUCACACACGUUUGAUGCGAGUGUCAUUUAAGAGUAUAUGAUUGAUAAUUUCUCCUUUAUUUAUUUAUCUCUUAAAAAAUUCUUAAUUAAUGCCAGGAAACAUCAAUUGCUUGCUUUCUUUCGUCAGUUGAAAAUAAGUGUGGGGUUAUUUGUGAAAAUGAAACAAGCGAAAUUAGAAUUAAUGUGAUUCACACUUAUAUUUUGUGGGGUGUCAUAAGAAAGGGAUUUUGUUUUUUAUAUUUCUGAGACUAGCCCAACCAGAGCAGAACAAUUUUCAGAAAAAAAAAAACACCACAACAAAGUUAAAUCAAAACCCGAAUAAUUAAUUUCGGUAAAAACUAACAUAUAGCUCGCUAUUACAUAAAUUUGUCACACAGAUGGAAUAUACGUCACCAAAUUAUUAUUCUUAAAAAGCAAAAACAGAUUUGAAAUCACAACAAAAGACUAACAUAAUCUAAAACUUAGACGAUGUUGUGACUCGACAAUAAACGCACAUUCCUCAUUUUAAGCGCAACUCAAAAGGAAGAAAAUUUUAAGGGGUGGACUUCAUUGUGUUUGCAACGUCGAUGACAAAGCGAUAUCUAACAUCGGCUUUAGCAAGGCGCUCCAGGGCUGUGUUCACAUAGUCGGCCGGUAUGACCUCAAUAUCAGCUCUGAUGUUGUGUUUUGCCGCAAAAUCAAUCAUCUCUUGAGUCUCCUUCAUCCCCCCAAUCAUGCUGCCACCAACUAUCUUCCUCCCUGAAAUUGCACAACACUUUCGUUAGCCACAAGAGUUCCAAAGUAAUAUGUAUCUUAUAUCUUAACAAAGAAAAAUGAAGUAACAUAAGCGCAGAUCACUCACCCAUGAGCAGGGAGAAAGCUGGUAGCUCCAGUGGCUUCUCUGGUGCACCAACAAGUACAAGCUUUCCUUGAGAUUUCAACAGUCCAAUCAACGGCAUUAGAGGGUGAACUGCAGAUACUGUAUCGAUAAUACCAUCCAUUGUGCCCAUGGCAGCCUUCACAGCCAACAUUAACAAACAAAUCAAUUUAGCAAGCAAGAAUGAUGGACCAAUGCACCUCAACUCUCAAGGAAAGAAACAUGUUCAAAAUAAGCGCACCCAGAAUCAAAAAGGGGCGAAAAAACCGUACCUGCAUCUCAUCUUGAUCACGACUGACCAAAAAGGAAUCAGCGCCAAGACGUUCAAUGGCUUCACUCUUCUUGCUAGGGGAGGUACUGAUCACAGUCACCUUGACCCCCAUAGCCUUUGCGAAUUUGACGGCGACAUGGCCUAGACCGCCCAAGCCGACAACACCCACAUGCAUACCAGGCUUGUCGAGUCCAUAGAAUCUCAACGGACUGUAGACUGUGAUACCAGCACAGAGGAGAGGGGCAGUGGCGUCAAGUGGUGUGCCUUCAGGAAUACGGACCACAAAGUGCUCAUCGGCAACCAUAAUGUCAGAGUAGCCUCCGUAUGUGAUGGUUCCAUCAUGGUACUUGUUGGCAUAGGUCAUUAUAACUUUGGGGCAGUAGUUCUCAAGAUCAAUGGCGCAGCUAUCACAAGAGUGGCAUGAUCCCACCAUGCAUCCUACUCCCACUUUGUCUCCGACUUUGAAUUUACUCACUUUGCUUCCGACCUCUGUCACUACGCCCACAAUCUCAUGUCUGCAUUUCCGUUUGCCGGUUCAAUUUUUUUAAUUUAGUGACUUGAAUUUCAGAUGGAAUAAAAUUGAACAUAACAAAAUACGCAAAUAAUAAAAACCAGAGGACCAACAAAACUCAUAUUCAUUCGCAUACAAUUCGAUACAUUUGGUAAGUUAAAUGUUUCUUAUGCUAUGUAUAUCUAGAGACUGCAAUUCCUUUUUUUUUUUUCUUUUUUUCCUUUUUCCUUUCUAAUGAAAGAAUUAUAUUUAAUUUCUUCAUUAAUACUUUCCUAAUUUCCUAAUAGCAAGGGAAUUGAUGAAUAAAAAAUAACGUUGGUCCAGCGCAGCGAUCAGACAGUACAGAAACAUUUUAUUUUUGAGGUUUAUGUGGCUUAUUUAACACAUGCUUUCCUGGUGCAGACUCCAUUGACACGCUUUCAUUUUUUUUAUUAUUGUUAAUAUUAUUUUAAUUCGUUUACUAAUAAAUUAUUGAAAAAAAGAAAGGACACAAUAAGAAAUCAGCCAUCGUACUAUAUACGAUGACAAAAUUGAAAAUUAUUAAAUCAGAUAUAUAUUUAUACAUCUUCUUUCGAAAUAAAAGAACAAAUUGAAAACAAGAUAUGAUUUGAGAAAACGAAAAACAUACCCGGGGACGAUUGGGUAAAUGGUAUUGCCCCAUUCAUUUUUUAUCAUGUGAAGAUCUGAAUGGCAUAUCCCACAGUGAGUUACUUUGAAUGUCACAUCCUUCUCUCCCGUUGCUCUGCAAAAACAGACGAUUUAACAACAAAAGAAAAUGAAAAAAAAGGAAAAAGAAAAAAGGCGGAACCUCUAACCACCAGACAUCAGACAUGCAUAGUAAAAAUAAAUGUACGCAUAUAUCUAAUCUAAAGUUUUAUUUGUGAUUGAGAAGCUUAUGAGGAAAAAAAUUUGUUAUUAUGAAAUAAGAAUUAAUAGUAUGUAAUAAAUAUAAUAUUUAAAUAAUUUUAUUUAAUAACAACUGAAAAAUCAUAUGAAUAUACUUUUUAAAUUACAACGAUUAAUAUUUAUUAAACACUGUAUAUCGUAAAUUUUAAGUAUAUAUGCCCAUAUGUUGUAACUUUUAAGUAUGACAAACAUGACUUAAAAAGAUUGAUUGGAAAUGGCAUGAAGAGAAAGGGAAAGAAAAGAGAGAAAACGAUACCUUCUGGAGAAGUGAAAGGGGGAGAGAACGCCAGAAGUGUCCUUGGCAGCCCAUCCAAAGGCGUUCUUAGGGUGCUCUUGCUCCGGUGCUUGCCCCAUUUCAGAAUGAAUUUAAUGAUAUCGGUGUUUGUUGGCUUAGUUUGACGUCCAGGGUAUUUGAACAAACAAGUUGCGAUGCUGUAUGCCGGGUGGCCUUGGGCUUUUAUAGCGAGUAACAGCAUCUUCCCAUUUCGUUUGGCUGACGUAAUCGGUGAGGUAUUUUCCAAUUCAAUUCACCGACCCAGCCAUUCUUUAUUGACCAAAGCCAUUUUCCUUAAAAUGGUUCUCGAUUUCCUUUGUAGUUUCACUUUUUUGCCCUUUUAUUCGACGAUUCUAGAAACACCAUGACCUUCGAUCGUGUAAAGCGUUAGGUAUUAGUCACGGGCAAAUGUUCAUGUGUAAAAGCAACCCAGCACUGUUCCUUUACGGGUAUUUUUGGCGAUAUUUUUUUUAAAAAUAAAUUUCAACUAACGCGACAAUUUGUUGAAGAUAAAUAGUAAUAAUAUACUCUUAUUUAGGGAUGUAAUGAGUCUCGCUCCUCAAAAUAAUUAAAAAACUACAACAACCAAAAAAAGAAAGAAAAACUGAAAGGAGAAGACUUUUCGUGAUGUAUUUUGGUGGCAAAUAACACAACUUAUGUGGACGACUUACUCGGUUAUUUGUUACUUUUUUUAUGGCUUCAAAACUUUCAGGAGUGGCUAUUCAUGUGGCCCGCGGCUGCUACCCGCAACACAUUUCAAUUUAGAAAAAUGACACUGACAUACGCCCUAUUAACUACGCAAAUCUUUUGGACAAGCUUAUUAUUAAUUUUAUAUUUAGGAUAUUUUAAUUAGAUUUACUUAAAUUUUUUUAUCAAAGUGGACUCUUACUCUCGUUACUAUUUAAUUUUUUAAAGUUAAUGGAUUUAACAUUAAAAAAGAAAAAGUCAAAGACAAAAGGCAAGAACCUCUUAAAAACAUUCGUCGUGUGAAAAGGUCAAUAAUUAAUAAAUAAAAUAAAAUAAAAUAAAAUAAGAGAAAGUACUUAACAUAUAGGCUAAUCCAACCAACUGGAAAUAUAUAUAUAUUAAUGAACUCGCACGACCUUUUGAACACUUGAAGCCUCAUGAAUGAAUGACCAACUUCCCAGUACUUGGUAUGUACCUUUCUCUCUGUAAACUGUAGUUAAUCUUCCCAGCUGCUUACAUUCAAUUAUUUAUUUAUUUAUUUAUUUAUUCUUUUUAGUUCACACCUACUACAAACAUCAUGGGACGUUCGACGAGAUGGUUACACAAAUUCGAGGCAACCUCUCUUUCUCUGUAUACCGACCUUUCAUUUGUCGUUAAUUAAUUAAUUAAUUUUUGUAGUUUAAAUGACAAGUUAAAGAAGAACCUAUCAGAAUAGUCGUGUUACACAUUUGUGUUUUUGGCUCUUGUGGACGCCAGCUAUUCAAUCUGAAUGUGGAAACUUUGACAUGUGCACGUAACAAAAGUUUCGUCGCAUGAAGGACCAAAACAAAACAACGAGUUCUAUCAAUGUCAGAAGCAAAAAGAAAAAAAAAAAACGAAAAAAAAAAUUAAUCAAAAUCGAAAAAAAAAAUUAAUCAAAAUGUGCGAGAAGCAAAAAGAAAAAAAAAAAACGAAAAAAAAAAUUAAUCAAAAUGUGCGAACUUUGAAAAUUCUAUUCUAAUUCGAAUAGAACGAUGAUUGAAUUGCAUUUAUUUCUUGGGUCUCCCUAACUUACAUAUUUUACCAUCGCUCAAAACAAAGUGACACCGACCUCACAUGAUCCGCUCAUAUAUUGUUUUUAUUCUUUAUCUUAUUUCCCUUUUUAUUAAUUGUAACUUUCAAUAAAUGUAAUUUAAAGAUUAUAUUAAAUCUGACAAAGAUUUUUCGCCAUUUAGACACAACCGCCGUAAAAAAAAAAUUUCGUGCUGCGCACUGCUGUUACAAAUUUUGCACAUGCUUGAUGUGGUCAAGAGUUUGGUAUUCACACAAUUCACGUUAAAAAGAUCUUUACUGCAAUGAAAGAUGUAUAUAAAAUUUCAAAUACCAAUAGAAUCCUAUCAAAGAGCUUUCUAGAAUAACCAGAUGAUGGAGUAUUCAUAAUGCACGCAUUAACAACUAUUAUCUUAAAUAAUAAGACGUUUAUCCUCCUAAAUAUGAUAAAAAUAUUACAUUUCAUAAUGUACGCAUGGAUGGCCUAUCUUCUGGUAGCAGAAUAAAUUGAGAGUACCAGUCUAUCGUUGGAUUUGUAGCCCAAUGAUUAUUUGUGUUGAAACUUAGAUUUCUUAACCAUCCAAACAAAUGGAUCACCGUAUCAAUUUGAUUAAUAUUAUUAAGAUAUAUAUGCAUGCAAAUUAGUCAUGAAAACUCAUCCACAAAAAAGUUAGAAAUUUUACCUUAAAAUGAACCCACAAUUUUGAAAGAUGUUUAAAAAUCUUUAUGAAAUGUAAGAUACAUACUCUUCUAAUUGGAUCAUGAUUCUCUCUUGAUAUAAUCUUCUUCUGAGUAAGUUUUAUAUUUUAUUAAAUUGAUUGAUAAUUAAUAAAUUAAAAAUAAAGGUAGUUAAAUUUUAAUUAUAUAUCAACACUAAAAUUUAGGUAGCACAAGCAGAGCUUAGAUCAUAUCAUGUAUAUCAUGUACAUAUCAUUUUAGAUUAUGUACUACUAUGUACAUACCACAUACCAUUUUAGAUAUGGAUUUUACUAUUCUCUCUCUCUCUCUUUUUCAAUCAUAGUACAUAUUAAGAUGUAUCAAAAAAAAAAAAGAAUAAAUGAAAUUUCAUGAUAGAUUUGAUGGGGUGGUAAAACUUGAACUAUAUUCAUCUUGAUAGAAUCAUCCAUCGUGCAUCAACAUUGGGGGUGAACCGUGAGGUUCUAAGAAAAUGCUUCCAUUGACCGAUGAAGUUUUGUUUGUGUUCUUUGGUUGCAAAGUCGAAUAAGGAUUACGUGCUAAAUUAAGUUUUUACUGAAUAUUGAAUCAAUAGUUAUUAAUAGGAGAAAUUGUAAAAAUUUAAAAUUUAAAACAAUUCUAAUUAUUGAUUCAAUACUCGAUAAAAACUCAACAUAAUACUAAACCCUAAUCCUACAAAAUUUUCUGUUGGAAAACAUACAUGCAGUGUUGAAAAUUGUGAUGUGAAUUCAUGAGUCAUUUAGGACAAUCGUAUAUUUUUGUUCAAGGUCAGAGGAACCUAGACACUGCUGUCGCUACAUACCUUUGCGAAUAUGAUUUUAUAGAUUUCUGCCAUCUAUACUAAUUUUAUUAAAUUAUAUGACUUGAUAGUGUUUGGAUUAGAAAAAAAAAAAUGAAAAGUGCCGCAUGAAAGAAAAACUCUAUAUGUGAUUUAGAACAAAACAAACUUUUCGAUUGGACAAUUGGUGAAAGGUACAUAUGCUAAAUAUUUUAUAUGAACAAUAUUUUAUUUCAUUAACAUUUAGGGUGUGUUUGGUGUGUGGUAUUGCAUAUGAUUAAUUGUGGGCUCAGCAUUAAUUUAAACCAAUAACAUGUUUGGGAGCAGUUGAGCCUCAUUGGAAUUGGGCAUCGGGAGGCGCACUAAUGCGGGAACUCCCGCAUUAGCUUGUUUUUUUUUUUUAAACUUAAACUUUUAGUUUUACUUAAUAAUAAUAAAAAUGGAUAAAUAUAUAAUUUUUCUGCUGUACGGCCAAGGCGGAUGUACGGUACAGCAAAUAAAAUCUCGCUGGAUUGUAAUUAAUAAUAUAAAAUAUUUGCACAAUUCAUUUUGUAAUUAAAUUUCUAAAAUUUAAGACCUCUAUAUUUAUUUUUUUAAGUACUAAUAAAUGUUAUUUUUAUAAAUAUAUAAUAUAAAUUAAUCACAAAAAAUUAAUAUAGUACAUUACAACACCAAAUAUAGUAUAAUUAAAAAUUAAUACAAUACAAUACAACACCAAAUAUUGUACAAUAUUAUUAUAAUACAGUACUAAUGCAACACACCAGCAUAAAAAUAAUACAAUACAACAUAAUAUAAUACAGUGUGCCAAACGCACCCUUAUACUUUUUUGGCAAUCACGACAUAAUUAGGGUCGAUGUAUCUGAAAAUUAAAAGUAAUUUAAGCGCUAAAAGAGUGUAAUGAUCGAGGGAGCAUUACAUAUAGCAAAGUGGAUCAUGGAACAAAGUUGUGAAUUGAAGACACCAAUCUGAUUCUGAUUCUGAUUCUUCAAGGUUUGGUGGCAGCCAAGGUGUUUGCAAUAUCAAUGACAAAUCGAUACCGAACAUCAGCCUUGGCAAGCCGCUCCAUUGCCGUAUUGACAUAAUCCAUCGAAAUAACCUCAAUGUCAGCUGUUAUAUUGUGUUUUGCUGCAAAAUCAAUCAUCUCUUGCGUCUCUUUCAUUCCCCCAAUGCUGCUCCCUGACACCGUCUUCCUCCCUGCUAUGUCAUUUUAUGUUAUCAAAUGACUUAUAUUAAUUACAAGUUUUAGACCACAAGUUUCCGAAGAAUUUUGUUAGAACUUACCCAUAAUUAAGGAAAUCACAGGUAGCUCGAGUGGCUUGUCCGGAGCACCAACCAGAACAAGCUUGCCCUGGGACUUUAAUAGACCGAGCAAUGGCAAAAUGGGGUGCACAGCGGACACCGUGUCAAUAAUACCAUCCAAUGUGCCCAUGGCACCCUGAUGAAGUUAUUACAAAAUAUAUAUUAAAAUUAAGGAAUGCAUUUUAUUUUUUAUUUUUCUCCAAUAUAUGCGUGAAUCUAAUUAAAUUACCUGCAAUUGGUCAGGGUCACGGCUAUUCAAAAAUGAAUCAGCGCCAAGAUGUUCAAGAGCUUCAGUCUUCUUGCUUGGAGAGGUGCUAAUUACUGUCACUUUGGCCCCAAAAGCCUUGGCAAAUUUGACAGCGACAUGACCAAGCCCGCCAAGGCCAACGAUGCCUACAUGCUUUCCUUGUUCUGCUAGUUCAAAGUAUUUCAAUGGACUGUACACGGUAAUCCCGGCGCAAAGCAGGGGAGCAGCAGCAUCAAGGGGCAUGCUAUCAGGGAAUCGAACAAUGUAGCGCUCAUUGGCAACCAUGUGAUCAGAGUAGCCUCCGUAUGUGAUUGUUCCGUCAGUGUUAAUGGAAGUGUAGGUGGGUAUCACUUUCGGACAGUAAUUUUCAAGGUCAUUGGCACAGCUCUCGCAGCUGUGGCAUGCACCAACCAUGCAUCCAACUCCAACUUUAUCUCCCACUUUAACCUUUCUUACUUUGCUACCAACUUCUGUCACUUCCCCUGCAAUUUCAUGCCUGCAAAUAAAUACAAUUUGUUUAUGAUAAAUUACUUUAGUGGAAACAAGGUAUUUGAUUCUGUUUUUGACAAUAUAUAACUAGCUAGCUUCUGGAAACGUAUAUACUACACCACUCCACCAACUUUUCUUUUGUCAGUAAGUUUCUCAAUCAUAAAAUUCUUCAAGCAAAGAAAUUUGAAAUUUGAAAAUUUACAAGUCUUCAUUUGAAUGCAAAUUCAAGUUACAAGUCAUGUCUCCGUUUAUUUGUCAACCUCGUCUAUCCCUCAAGUAAAAUCUCAUAAUUGACCAUUCCGCAAUUACACAGGUGUACCAUUUUGAUGGGUUAAGUCUUUAGUGUGAUCUCAACACUCUAAUGAUGCCAAGGCACCCCACUGGCCACUACACUGGAAUAUUUAAAAAUUGUACAGAGUCAAAUGGAAAUAAAUUAAUUUUAUUGGGAAAAAAAAAAGAUAUCUAUGCUAACAACGCUUUAAUUGAGUUAAUUGUUAUUUCCACCCUUUAUUUAUAAGAUAGAGAGUAUAAAUCUACCAAGAGUUAUGAAGAUAAUGUAUAAGAAAAAUACAUAUUUUCAUCCAAUAUAUUUUAUUUUAUAUUACAUUAAAAUUUGUGUGUCUCUAUUUUUGUUUAAUUUGUUGUAAGAAAAUCUUAUUAAACGAUGAUGACCCGUAAAUAUAUAUGUUUGCCACUUUUAACAGGAGAUUCCAGUUAUUCAUCACAUCAAAUAUGGAACGGUAAGAUUAAAACCCUCGUUACCAAUAUUUCACUAGCACCUCUAUAUAAGAUAGAAUUAAAUAGGAUUGGGGACGAUUUGUAUCAAAUUAAAAGAUCCCAAAGCCUUGGCCUUGGUUAAUCUCUUUCUGUAUACACAGGCAAGUACCGUAGUUAAUAAUUAGGGAGCGCCGUGACGGAAACAACAGCCUGUUCAUGCGUAGCUGGGUUUGACCCGAAACAAAAACAAAUGCAAAAAAAAAUGCAAAAGAAACAAAAAUUGAAGGGUAGAUAGAUCAUGGGUACAUACCCAGGAACCAUAGGGAAGAGAGAGAAGCCCCAUUCAUUCUUGAUGUUGUGGAGAUCAGUAUGGCAGAUCCCACAAUACAAUACCUUCAGCCUCACAUCCUCAUCACCCGUUUCCCUGUCCGUAUUUUACAUAUCCACGUUUAUGACCAUUUCAUCAACACGUACAGUAACAAAAUUUUAAAUAAAUUUAAAGCAGCAUCACACAUAUAUAUUAUGCUCAACUAUUAAUUACCUUCUGGAGAAGUUGAAUGGGGAGAGAUGGCCGGAGCUGUCUCGGGCUGCCCACCCAAAGGCCUUUACUGGAUGUUCUUCUUCUGGUGAUUUUGCCAUUUUGGAUGAGAGAACGGCAAUGUUAUCAUUAUUAUAGUGGUUUGAAUGAUGUGAUGAGACGAGUAAAAGUACCAGUUUUUGUUUAUGCUUCAUAUGAAUGUUAAUGUGUGUACAGAUGUUUCUAAUCAAGAUUUUUUAUUAUAUUAAAGAGAAGAUAAAUUAAAAAAUAUAAAUACAAAAUUUAAUAUAAUAUAUUUUAUUUUAUAAUAUAUUCAUUGUUUAGUGAGGUUCACUUAUGUUGCAACUAUAAUAUGGUACCGCAUUUACUUUCAGCAGUCCGAUAUAGCUAACGUAACUGUGUAAUUAUGGAUUUAACAACUGAUUUAGUGAUGAUUUCAAUAUAUUAAGUUAUUAACGGAUAAAAAAAUAUAAUUUUAAUUUUUUAAUACAUUAAAGUCGGUGUUUUUUUUUUAUAUUUUGUUAAUAUCUUCACCUUAAUAAAGUGAAGAUGUCAUAAUCGAGAAAAAUUAUAUAUAAUGAAGACUAAUUAGAUAAUAUUAUAAUUUUUAAAAUAAUUAUUAUUAGAUGUGAUGUAGAAAUAACUGCUGUACCGUACAUCCGCCUUGGCCGUUUUUUAUUGUGUAUAUAUAAUAAUUAUUAAUAAACAUAAUAUAUAUAAUAAUUUUUUAUCUCAAUAUUAUUGAUAAUGAUAAUAAUCUCUUCAAAAUAAUUUUAUUUUAUAAUUAAUAUGAAUAAUUUAAAAUUUUCCUAAUAUAUAUAAAAAAAUCAGUUUUUAACUUUUAAAUUAUUUUCGAGGAUCUCAAAAAUAAUAAUUAUCGGGAACAGGCUAACAGCAGGGAGGUGGAGAGAGGGGGUCAUAAAUUUUGCUAUUUAAAUUUUCCUAAUAUAUAAAAAAAAUCAGUUUUUAACUUUAAAAUUAUUUUCGAGCAUCUCAAAAAUAAUAAUUAUCGGGAACAGGCUGACAGCAGGGAGGUGGAGAGAGGGGGUCAUAAAUUUUGCUGAAGUAAUCAGUGAGCUAACAUGUGACAUACGGAUGCGCUAUGUAUGGGAUGUCCACCGUCAAUGACAUGGCGGACCAGCGAGAUACUUCUUGGGUCAGCUUCACCAUUAUUAUUAUUAUUAUUAUUCAAUUCCUAGUGUCGCAAACUCAAAGGUGGAUACCUGUCAAAAGCAACACCACGAACAACCAUUAUGAGACUUACGGCAAAAUGAGAACCCAGCGCGCUGAUUCGGUGGAAUUAAUGAUCACAAAAAUUUGAUUUUUUUUAAAAAAUAAUUACAAAUAUUUUUUUUGAUAAAUUUUAAAGGCUAAUGUGAAUUUUGUUGUUUUUUUACUUUUUAACAUAAAGAAUAUCAUAAGGUAUUGUAUAACUAUUGUUCAAUAAAAAAUUAAAUUUAUAUAUUUUUAAAAAGAUAAGACCUUAUCUUAAUUUAAAUUCUUUUGAAUUUUUAAAAAUCUUGCAGUUAAAUUCAAAUUAAAUAAAGAUAAAAAUAAAUUUGUGUAAUUAUUUUUAAAAAUAAAAAAUAUUUUUGUGAAUUUUUUUAAACUGGGAGAAUAUUAAUAUUUUUUUAUACUUAAAAUUUAUUUAUUAAACAUCUUGGAAAAAAAUUAAUUAAACUGGGAGAAUAUUGAUAUUUUUUUUCAAAUACCAAUAGAAUCCUAUCAAAGAGCCUUCUAGAAUAACCAGAUGCUGAGUAUUUAUAAUGUACACAUUAACAAUUAUUAUCUUAAAUAAUAAGACGUUUAUCCUCCUAAAUAUGAUAAAAAUAUUACAUUUCAUAGUGUACACAUGGACGGCCUAUCUUCUGGUAGCAGAAUAAAUUGAGAGUACCAGUCUAUCGUUGGAUUUGUAGCCCAAUGAUCAUUUGUGCUGAAACUUAGAUUUUCUUAACCAUCCAAACAAAUGGAACACCGUAUCAAUUUGAUUAAUAUUAUUAAGAUAUAUAUGCAUGCAAAUUAGUCAUGAAAACUCAUCCACAAAAAGUUAGAAAUUUUACCUUAAAAUGAACCGACAAUUUUAAAAGAUGUUCAAAAAUAUUUAUGAAAUGUAAGAAACAUACUCUUCUAAUUGGAUCAUGAUUCUCUCUUAAUAUGAUUUUCUUUUGAGUAAGUUUUAGGGGUGGCAAAACGAAUAAACGAAUCGAAUUCGAAUCGAAUCGUAAAUGAAUUGGGUCAAAAUUCUAUGGAUUCGAAUUCGAUUCGUUUAUUAAAAGAAUUGAAAUUUCAAGAUUCGGAUUCGAUUCGUUUAUUAAACGAAUAUUCGGUUCAAUUCGUUUAAUUCGUUUAAUAGAAUUGAUAAACGAAUCGAAUCGAAUCCGGAUUCGUUUAUUAUUCGUUUAUCCUUUACGAAUCCAUAACGAAUCGAAUCGAAUCAGGAUUCGUUUACAAUUCGUUUAGAAAAAUAUAAUUAAUAAACAAAAUUAAGCAAAAAAAACACAAAUUUAAUAUCCCACAACAAAAUACAAAUAAUUCAAAUCAUAUUAUACAGUCAUCCAAAUAACAAAUACCAAAUCCUUAAUAUUACAAAUAACAAUAAUUCAAAUUGAAAUUAUAAAGAAAUGUAAUUUCUUUAAUUCUUUUCAUUUGUCUUUGUCACCUUGAAAACAAAAAUCCUACACGAAAAAAUAAAUAAAAUGUUAUUAACAUGCUCCAAUAUUGAUAAUAGUCAUUGUAAAAUUUCAAAAAUCAAAUAUAUAGCAAAUUUGUAGCAUUUUCAAGGAAAUAAUAAUUAAACAAGAUAAAAACCUUACCUAACACUGUCAUUUGGAUCAUUUGCACUCUCUACAGAUGGAGCACAAUUAGUGCUCAUGUUCAUAAACUAAUAAAUCAAAGAAAAAGUCUAACAGAGAAAUUAACAUACAUAAUCACUUUCAAGCACCAUUACCAAGACCACGAAUCUAUUCAUCAUGUAUGCCAAAUUCUAACCCGGCAAUAUUCCUAAUGCACAAUAUUCCAAUACACAAAAUAUUAACAAUACAACAUAAUAAAUUAUAAAUUCUAAUACUAAAAAAAAUUUUAAUCCAAUAUUUGUGGGAGCUUCUUCCUUAUCCUACAGAUAAUUUUUAACACCAUAAUCGAUUUAUACAUAAUUUCAUAAUAUUUUCCGAACAAUACAAAACAUUUUAAAUGCAGUGCGUUUAUGUGCGACAGGCACCUGUCCCACUUGCCUGUCUCACUAAAUUUCAUAUAUGUUUCGAAAGCCAUAACUUGAGCUAUAUAUGUUCGUUUUAGGCGUAUAAUAUACCGUUUCGAAGUUUACGACGAGACAAAUCAAAUCCAAAAUCAUGUAUUCCGUAAACGCCGUGAGUUUAUGUGCGAUAAGCAGUGGGACAGGUGCCUAUCGCACAUAAAUGCAGUGCGUUUAUGUGCGACAGGCACCUGUCCCACUUGCCUGUCUCACUAAAUUUCAUAUAUGUUUCGAAAGCCAUAACUUGAGCUAUAUAUGUUCGUUUUAGGCGUAUAAUAUACCGUUUCGAAGUUUACGACGAGACAAAUCAAAUCCAAAAUCAUGUAUUCCGUAAACGCCGUGAGUUUAUGUGCGAUAAGCAGUGGGACAGGUGCCUAUCGCACAUAAAUGCAGUGCGUUUAUGUGCGACAGGCACCUGUCCCACUUGCCUGUCUCACUAAAUUUCAUAUAUGUUUCGAAAGCCAUAACUUGAGCUAUAUAUGUUCGUUUUAGGCGUAUAAUAUACCGUUUCGAAGCUUACGACGAGACAAAUCAAAUCCAAAAUCAUGUAUUCCGUAAACGCCGUGAGUUUAUGUGCGAUAAGCAGUGGGACAGGUGCCUAUCGCACAUAAAUGCAGUGCGUUUAUGUGCGACAGGCACCUGUCCCACUUGCCUGUCUCACUAAAUUUCAUAUAUGUUUCGAAAGCCAUAACUUGAGCUAUAUAUGUUCGUUUUAGGCGUAUAAUAUACCGUUUCGAAGCUUACGACGAGACAAAUCAAAUCCAAAAUCAUGUACUCCAUAAAAUCCAUGGGUUUAUGCGCGACAAGCAAUGGAACAGGUGCCAUGGCUUUGUAAAUUUGAAAAAGUGGCAUGGCUUUGUAAAUUUGAUGAAAGUGAUGAGGGUAAUGUAGUCCAAACAUAAGGUGUUUGGCUAGUUAUGAUAGAAAAAACUUUGGGGGGUUAAAGUUGAAAAACGUAAAAGUUUUAUGGCUAAUUUUGUAAAUUUCCCAAACAUUUUCUAAACCAUAAUCUCAUAAUAUUCUACAAUACAAAAUUUCUCAAUAAUUCAACCAUAAUCUCAUGAUAUUACUCUGAGUUGGUGAUGGCUUGUUGAUUCGGGUCGCCUGGGCACUAGUUCGGGUCGCAGUCGCCUGGGUUUGCUGCUGCUGCACCGCCGCACGGGUUAGCCACUACUGUGGGUUCGAGUGGCUGCUAAUACGUUGCGCAGCUGAUGCUCCUGGGUUGCUGCCGAGUCGCGGGCUGCACUCGCGUGGCUGCGUCCCUCAAGCUCAAUCGACGAUAGAUGAACGAUGGUGGUUGUAAUCGUCGGUUCGCUGUGAGUUAAUGACAAGUUCCCUGUGAGUUAAUGACAGUGGCUACCGGCGGUUGUUUUUGUUGCUUGAUUGCUUCACUUGGUAUGGGUGGGUGAGUGUGAUUCGUGUGAGAGAGGUAGAGAGCAACGAGAGCGGCUGAGUGAGGGGAGAAUUUUUAGGGAUUUAGCCUUUAGGUUUCCGCUACUUUGUUUUUUUUUUUGGUUAUUUUCUUAAAAGUAAAUUUUCAAACCCGCAUUCGAUUCGUUUAAUUAACGAAUCAAAUCGAAUUCAUCCAUUUAUUAAACGAAUCAAUUUUUUUCAAACCCAAACCCAUUUAAUUCGCAUCGAAUCGAAUCGAAUAAACGAAUCCUGACCUAUAUUGCCACCCCUAACUGUAAUAGCAAAUCAAAUAGUAAGUUUUAUAUUUUAUUAAAGUGAUUGGUAAUUAACAAAUUAAAAAAUAAAGGUAGUUAAAUUCUAAUUAUAUACUAACACUAAAAUAUAGGUAGCACAAGCAGAGCUUAGAUCAUAUCAUGUACAUCAUAUACAUACCAUUAUAGAUCAUGUACUACUAUAUACAUACCACAUACCAUUUUAGAUAUGGAUUUUACUAUUCUCUCUCUCUCUCUCUUUUUCAAUCAUAGUACAUAUUAAGAUCUACAAAAAAAAAAAAGAAUAAAUGAAAUUUCAUGAUAGAUUUGAUGGGGUGGUAAAACUUGAACUAUAUUCAUCUUGAUAGAAUCAUCCAUCAUGCAUCAACAUUGGGGGUGAACCGUGAGGUCCUAAGAAAAUGCUUCCAUUGACCGAUGAAGUUUUGUUUGUUUUCUUUGGUUGCAAAGUCGAAUAAGGAUUACGUGCUAAAUUAAAUUUUUACUGGAUAUUGAAUCAAUAGUUAUUAAUAGGAGAAAUUGUAAAAAUUUAAAAAUUUAAAACAAUUUUAACUAUUAAUUCAAUGAUUGAUUCAAUACUCGAUAAAAAUUUAACAUAACACUAAACCCUAAUCCAGAGAAAUUUUCUGUUGGAAAACAUAUAUGCAGCGUUGAAAAUUGUGAUAUGAAUUCAUGAGCCAUUUAGGACAAUCGUAUAUUUUUGUUCAAGGUCAGAGGAACCUAGACGCUGCUGUUGCUACAUACCUUUGCAAAUAUGAUUUUAUAGAUUUCUGCCAUCUAUACUAAUUUUAUUGAAUUAUACGACUUGAUAGUGUUGGUACGAGAAGAAAAAAAAAAUGAAAAGUGCCGCAUGAGAGCAAAACUCUAUAUGUGAUUUAGAACAAAACAAACUUUUCAACUGGACAAUUGGUGAAAGGUACAUAUGCUAAAUAUUUUAUAUGAACAAUGUUUUAUUUCAUUAACAUUUAUAGUUUUUUGGCAAUCACGACAUAAUUAGGGUGAUGUAACUGGAAAUUAAAAGUAAUUUAAGCGCUAAAAGAGUGUAAUGAUCGAGGGAGCAUUACAUAUAGCAAAGUGGAUCAUGGAACAAAGUUGUGAAUUGAAGACACCAAUCUGAUUCUGAUUCUGAUUCUUCAAGGUUUGGUGGCGGCCAAGGUGUUUGCAAUAUCAAUGACAAAUCGAUACCGAACAUCAGCCUUGGCGAGCCGCUCCAUUGCCGUAUUGACAUAAUCCAUCGAAAUAACCUCAAUGUCAGCUGUUAUAUUGUGUUUUGCUGCAAAAUCAAUCAUCUCUUGCGUCUCUUUCAUUCCCCCAAUGCUGCUCCCUGACACCGUCUUCCUCCCUGCUAUGUCAUUUUAUGUUAUCAAAUGAAUUAUAUUAAUUACAAGUUUUAGACCACAAGUUUCCGAAGAAUUUUGUUAGAACUUACCCAUAAUUAAGGAAAUCACAGGUAGCUCGAGUGGCUUGUCCGGAGCACCAACCAGAACAAGCUUGCCCUGGGACUUUAAUAGACCGAGCAAUGGCAAAAUGGGGUGCACAGCGGACACCGUGUCAAUAAUACCAUCCAAUGUGCCCAUGGCACCCUGAUGAAGUUAUUACAAAAUAUAUAUUAAAAUUAAGGAAUGCAUUUUAUUUUUUAUUUUUCUCCAAUAUAUGCGU
rnacentral:lncRNA from 1 species